rnacentral:rRNA from 1 species
UACGUAGGGACCAAGCGUUGUUCGGAUUUACUGGGCGUAAAGGGCGCGUAGGCGGCUUGACAAGUCACUUGUGAAAUCUCCGGGCUUAACUCGGAACGGCCAAGUGAAACUGUCAUGCUAGAGUGCAGAAGGGGCAAUCGGAAUUCUUGGUGUAGCGGUGAAAUGCGUAGAUAUCAGGAGGAACACCGGUGGCGAAGGCGGGUCUCUGGGCCGAUAUUGACGCUGAGGAGCGAAAGCGUGGGGAGCGAACAGG